UUCCCGGGGACCAGUACCUUUAG
rnacentral:piRNA from 1 species